rnacentral:rRNA from 1 species
CUACGGGACGCACCAGUGAGGAAUAUUGCACAAUGGGGGGAACCCUGAUGCAGCAACGCCGCGCGGAGGAUGACGCAUUUCGGUGUGUAAACUCCUUUUAUAUGUCAAGAAAAUGACGGUAGCAUAUGAAUAAGCACCGGCUAACUCCGUGCCAGCAGCCGCGGUAAUACGGAGGGUGCAAGCGUUACUCGGAAUCACUGGGCGUAAAGGACGCGUAGGCGGGUUGGAAAGUCAGGUGUGAAAUCCUACAGCUUAACUGUAGAACUGCACUUGAAACUUCUAAUCUAGAGUAUGGGAGGGGGAGAUGGAAUUAGUGGUGUAAGGGUAAAAUCCGUAGAUAUCACUAGGAAUACCUAAAGCGAAGGCGAUCUCCUGGAACAUUACUGACGCUAAGGCGUGAAAGCGUGGGGAGCAAACAGGAUUAGAUACCCUCGUAGUC